rnacentral:rRNA from 1 species
CCCUUAGAUGUUCUGGGCCGCACGCGUGCUACACUGAGUAAUUCAAUGGGUAAGGGAACGCUAGAGCAUUACCUAAUCUUGAAAUUUGCUCGUGAUGGGGAUCGACGGUUGCAAUUUUCCGUCGUGAACGAGGAAUACCUUGUAGGCGCAUGUCAUCAUCAUGCGCCGAAUACGUCCCUGCCCUUUGUACACACCGCCCGUCGCUCCUACCGAUUGAGUGACCCGGUGAGGCUCUGGGACCUGGACGGAAAGAGCGUUUCGCUUGUUCUGUUUGGGAAACUUGGUCGAACCUUAUCAUUUAGAGGAAGGAGAAGUCGUAACA